rnacentral:rRNA from 1 species
CUUGCUUCUUUGCUGGCGACCGGCGCACGGGUGAGUAACACGUAUCCAACCUGCCCUUUACUCGGGGAUAGCCUUUCGAAAGAAAGAUUAAUACCCGAUAGUAUAAUGAUUCCGCAUGGUUUCAUUAUUAAAGGAUUCCGGUAAAGGAUGGGGAUGCGUUCCAUUAGGUUGUUGGUGAGGUAACGGCUCACCAAGCCUUCGAUGGAUAGGGGUUCUGAGAGGAAGGUCCCCCACAUUGGAACUGAGACACGGUCCAAACUCCUACGGGAGGCAGCAUG